rnacentral:rRNA from 1 species
GAUGAACGCUGGCGGCGUGCCUAAUACAUGCAAGUCGAGCGAACAGAUGAGGAGCUUGCUCCUCUGACGUUAGCGGCGGACGGGUGAGUAACACGUGGAUAACCUACCUAUAAGACUGGGAUAACUUCGGGAAACCGGAGCUAAUACCGGAUAAUAUAUUGAACCGCAUGGUUCAAUAGUGAAAGACGGUUUUGCUGUCACUUAUAGAUGGAUCCGCGCCGCAUUAGCUAGUUGGUAAGGUAACGGCUUACCAAAGCAACGAUGCGUAGCCGACCUGAGAGGGUGAUCGGCCACACUGGAACUGAGACACGGUCCAGACUCCUACGGGAGGCAGCAGUAGGGAAUCUUCCGCAAUGGGCGAAAGCCUGACGGAGCAACGCCGCGUGAGUGAUGAAGGUCUUCGGAUCGUAAAACUCCGUUAUUAGGGAAGAACAAAUGUGUAAGUAACUAUGCACGUCUUGACGGUACCUAAUCAGAAAGCCACGGCUAACUACGUG